rnacentral:rRNA from 1 species
AUACGGAGGGUGCGAGCGUUAAUCGGAAUUACUGGGCGUAAAGCGUGCGUAGGCGGUUUGGCAAGUCAGGUGUGAAAGCCCUCGGCUCAACCGAGGAACUGCACUUGAAACUGCCAGACUGGAGUUCGGGAGGGGGUAGCGGAAUUCCGGGUGUAGGGGUGAAAUCCGUAGAUAUCCGGAGGAACACCGGUGGCGAAGGCGGCUACCUGGACCGAUACUGACGCUGAGGUACGAAAGCGUGGGGAGCAAACAGGAUUAGAAACCCGUGUAGUCC